UCCAAGUCCAUCGAUCUAAGGCUCACCUGCAAAGAUGGGAAAAAGGGGGGUGAGUUUGGAAAACUCAGUGUGUAAAGUAUCCCAACCAGAGCCCAAAUCAGUUCAAGCUUUACUGGGCCUAAGCCCUAUUCAGAAAUCAGUGUUAACUUGGCCUUAGCCCAUAUCAAUAUUAAUCUAGGCCAUAGCCAUUUACAGUAUCAGAGUAUAUUGGGCCUAGCCCAUAUCAGUAUCAAUCUAGGUAGUAGCCCUAUUACAAGUCGAGAUAUAUUGGGCCUUGCCCAUAUUAACAUAGUUGGGCCCACUUCAAUACAGUUGGCCCAUAAUAAAACAGUCUCAUAUGAUUAAUGCAUGAUAACCCCAUCCAACCCUGCACUUGCCUCCGUCCAUCCCUACACUUCCUGUGGGGAAUAAAUCACCCACGCCAUCCCUACACUUACAGUGUUAGCACCGGUUGCGGCACUAACUAUAAUCCGCAGCAAAGCUGCUUAUAUCGGAAUACGUGGCAGAGCCACCAGAACGGGUUCUUCCUCCAUAACAAAACCUAACCCCAUGCAACAGAUAUACAUGUCAUGGCAUACAACAAACAUAAUCAGAAUAUCAUGCAUUUCAGUCAAAAUUAACCCUAAGGGUAUAACGGUCAUUUUGCACCUAGGGGUAAAAUGGUAAUUUUCAUACUUAGGGGUAUUUCAAUAAAAUUUACUAUUCUAGAGUUUACAUACAUAUUCUAACCAUAAACACAUUAACAGAAGCACUUACUGAGCGUUUUUACCGAAUUGGGCCCAUUGGCCCACUAACUCGUUUUCGGCCCAUUAAGCCCAAAUAUACCGAAGUGCACGAAAUUGUGCACUCUACAAUCAUACUGCUUGCGAUUACCAAUAUUAACAACCAAACCACGUCGCAAGCGCUCGCACGCUCUCAAGUUCACAAAUGCCA
rnacentral:lncRNA from 1 species